CCCGCACACUGUUAAAGCGCGGCUCCGAGGUCGGUGUCCGGGUGUCGGAAGUGUGCCAGAGUAACACGGCAGGUUUUUCGCUAACACCACGAGGGCUCCGGUCCCAUGAGUGGGGUUUGAUAGUACUCCGUGCCACAGGC